rnacentral:rRNA from 1 species
AUUGAACGCUGGCGGCGUGCUUAACACAUGCAAGUCGAUCGGUAACGCGGGGGCAACCCUGGCGACGAGAGGCGGACGGGUGAGGAACGCUUGGGAAUCUGCCCUUCAGCGGGGGACAACCCGGGGAAACCCGGGCUAAUACCGCAUACGCUCCACGGAGGAAAGCCGGGGACCGCAAGGCCUGGCACUGAAGGAUGAGCCCAAGUCGGAUUAGCUAGUUGGCGGGGUAACGGCCCACCAAGGCGACGAUCCGUAGCUGGUCUGAGAGGACGAUCAGCCACACCGGAACUGAGACACGGUCCGGACUCCUACGGGAGGCAGCAGUGGGGAAUAUUGGACAAUGGGGGAAACCCUGAUCCAGCGACGCCGCGUGGGUGAAGAAGGCCUGCGGGUUGUAAAGCCCUUUCGGUAGGGACGAAAGCUCUUGCUCUAACAAAGCAGGAGGUUGACUUAACCUACAUAAGAAGCACCGGCUAACUCUGUGCCAGCCGCCGCCGUAAUAC